AUUGAACGCUGGCGGCAUGCCUUACACAUGCAAGUCGAACGGCAGCACGGGAGCAAUCCUGGUGGCGAGUGGCGAACGGGUGAGUAAAGUAUCGGAACGUGCCCAGUCGUGGGGGAUAACGUAGCGAAAGUUACGCUAAUACCGCAUACGAUCUAUGGAUGAAAGCGGGGGAUCGCAAGACCUCGCGCGAUUGGAGCGGCCGAUAUCAGAUUAGGUAGUUGGGGGGGUAAAGGCUCACCAAGCCGACGAUCUGUAGCUGGUCUGAGAGGACGACCAGCCAAACUGGGACUGAGACACGGCCCAGACUCCUGCGGGAGGCAGCAGUGGGGAAUUUUGGACAAUGGGCGAAAGCCUGAUCCAGCCAUGCCGCGUGCAGGAUGAAGGCCUUCGGGUUGUAAACUGCUUUUGUACGGAACGAAAAGGUUUGGCCUAAUAAGCUGAGCUCAUGACGGUACCGUAAGAAUAAGCACCGGCUAACUACGUGCCAGCCGCCGCCGUAA
rnacentral:rRNA from 1 species